rnacentral:rRNA from 1 species
UACGUAGGAGGCGAGCGUUGUCCGGAAUUAUUGGGCGUAAAGAGCUCGUAGGCGGUCUGUUGCGUCGGCUGUGAAAACCCGAGGCUCAACCUCGGGCCUGCAGCCGAUACGGGCAGACUAGAGUUCGGCAGGGGAGACUGGAAUUCCUGGUGUAGCGGUGAAAUGCGCAGAUAUCAGGAGGAACACCGGUGGCGAAGGCGGGUCUCUGGGCCGAUACUGACGCUGAGGAGCGAAAGCGUGGGGAGCGAACAGG